GACGUAGGGCGCGAGCGUUUGUCCGGAUUUAUUGGGCGUAAAGAGCUCGUAGGCGGCUUGUCGCGUCGUCUGUGAAAUCCCGCGGCUCAACCGCGGGUCUGCAGUCGAUACGGGCAGGCUAGAGUUCGGUAGGGGAGACUGGAAUUCCUGGUGUAGCGGUGAAAUGCGUAGAGAUCGGGAGGAACAUCAGUUGCGAAGGCGGCUCUCUGGACCAGCACUGACACUGAGGCACGAAAAGCGUGGGGGAGCAAAACAGG
rnacentral:rRNA from 1 species